AAAGAGAGAGGAGUAGAGAGAGAGAAAGAGAGAGAGGAGUAGAGAGAGAGAAAGAGAGAGAGGAGUAGAGAGAGAGAAAGAGAGAGAGGAGUAGAGAGAGAGAGAGAGAGAGGAAGAGGAGUAGAGAGAGAGAAAGAGAGGAGUAGAGAGAGAGAGAGAGCGAGGAGUAGAGAGAGAGAAAGAGAGGAGUAGAGAGAGAGAAAGAGAGGAGUAGAGAGAGAGAAAGAGAGGAGUAGAGAGAGGGAGGAGUAGAGAGAGAGCGAGGAGGAGUAGAGAGAGAGAGAGAGCGAGGAGUAGAGAGAGAGAAAGAGAGGAGUAGAGAGAGAGAAAGAGAGGAGUAGAGAGAGGUAGAGAGAGGUAGAGAGAGGAGUAGAGAGAGGAGUAGAGAGAGAGAGAGGAGUAGAGAGAGAGAGAGAGAGCGAGGAGUAGAGAGAGAGAAAGAGAGGAGUAGAGAGAGAGAAAGAGAGGAGUAGAGAGAGGGAGGAGUAGAGAGAGGAGUAGAGAGAGGAAGAGAGAGAGAGAGGAGUAGAGAGAGGAGUAGAGAGAGGAGUAGAGAGAGGAGUAGAGAGAGAGAGAGAGGAGAGAGAGAGAGAGAGAGGAGUAGAGAGAGAGAGAGAGGAGUAGAGAGAGAGAGAGAGCGAGGAGUAGAGAGAGAGAAAGAGAGGAGUAGAGAGAGGGAGGAGUAGAGAGAGGAGGAGAGAGAGAGAGAGAGGAG
ensembl:lncRNA